rnacentral:rRNA from 2 species
CUUGAAUUCCUAUAAGAGGUCCAGCCUGCCCAGUGACUUUGUUCAACGGCCGCGGUAUCCUAACCGUGCGAAGGUAGCGUAAUCACUUGUCUUUUAAAUGAGGACUUGUAUGAAUGGCAUCACGAGGGUUAUACUGUCUCCUUUUUCUAAUCAGUGAAACUAAUCUUCCCGUGAAGAAGCGGGAAUAAAUAUAUAAGACGAGAAGACCCUAUGGAGCUUUAAACUUAAUAACAAAUACUAACCUUACUUCAACUUCCAGAACAUUAAUCUUAAUUUUAGUAUCCUGUUUAUUAGUUUUAGGUUGGGGUGACCGCGGAGUAAAAAUUAACCUCCAUAUUGAAUAGGACUUGUCCUUGAGCUAAGAACUACAGCCCUAAGCACCAAUAAAUUGACAUUAAUUGACCCAAUAUUUUGAUCAACGAAC